UCACCAAAGGGUGCUACAUAUUUACUCCAGUUGUAGUUAAGACAUUAAAAAUCCUAAAGUCUGUGGGGAACAAUGGUUUGCUGUACUUUCUAAAGGAGAUAUCAUGGAGUAAUAAGUUCUAGACUGGGAGACAGGUCCCCUGAGCACCACCCUUAGUUUGAUACUGCCUGUAUCACUGCACACAGGCUGACUGCCACUCUGAAAAUAAUUCCUGUAUUUUCUACUUUACCAAGCUGUUGGGAAGAUCAAAGAGGAUAAUAUGGAUGUGAGUGUACUUUGAAAAAAUGCAAAGAAUUGCGUAACUGUAAAGGAUUAUACUACUGUUGACAGUGCUUCUGAGGGUCCAUUUCGGAAAGUGUUAUAUAACAGUUAAAUGCUGGCCAUUGUCUUUGGAAGUUUCUUUGGAAAAUAAAUAUACAGUACUUCAUCUUGUGGUGUGCGUCCUUGCUAACUUUAGUACAAAUUCUAAAAGGCCACACCUGCUGCUAACCUCACCUCUGCUGUCUUCCACGGUGGCAAGGAGGUCAGGGAAACACGUGUCUGCAUUGGACAUAUAAUGAAAUUGAAAUUCGAACACGGCAUUGCCCAGAAGACAACAGCAGCAAUGGUUAUGCUCCACAGAAAGUUUGGCUUUACCAAAAAGAACCUGCAGCUAUACUGCAGCUCUAGAACAAUUUGGAUUAAUGGGCCACAUAUAUAGGUCCUGUCUCCAUUUGUAUCUUCUGGAAAUUAGAGGUGGUACUGUGAAGGUGCCAAGUGAGACAUGAUUUGAAAUGGACAUGGAUAAGAAAUGAAGAGAUUAAAAAGAACAGACUCUGCCACUUGGUUUUUUUCAUGCCAAGAGAGCCAACAUUCAGAGAGGGAUCACCUUAGUCAACUUGUAUCCUGGCACGUUUCUGGCAAUCAACAAAUGAAUGGUGAUUAAACAAACGAAUGAGGGUAACAUCCCUGAUAAGAAAGUACAGAUAGUGGAAUAAAGCCUCAACACACUGAAAGAGUUAGCCAGCCCUGUAAUGGAGUUGAACAACCAGAAAAUGCCUGACCAGAAAAUGUUUUUGUUUGCACCGAGGCUUGGCUACAAGAUUCAGCUCAUUUACUAAAAACUAGCAGCAACAUAUAAGGUUUAGUCAGUUGUUAUGGAAAGACUUUAUGGUCUAUAGAAGUUCUAUUCAAAUGAGAGGUAAUCAAAACAUUUCGGCUACCGUGGAAAAAAGUGUAAAAUAUGUCUCAAAUCAGCCUAUUGCAAAAUGCACCCAUAUCAGAAAAUAAGGGUUCUGAGAAUGCAGUUAACUGGCAUCCUGGGCUAGCAAAUGAUGGAGGAGGACACAUUAGCCCUCACUAGCCAACUCCCUUUCCUGUCCCCAGCUGGCCCACUUGUCCCCUUGGGCACACCUGCUCUUAGAGAAAGGAGAGAAACUCACAGUGUCAGGGAGGAGGGUGCUGGAAGUCCCUCUAAUCCAGGCUCUCAUUGCACAGGUGCACACAUAGAUCUGGAGAACUGAGUGGUUGGACCUGAGUCCUGAAGCUCAUGAGGGGCAGAGGUGGAAUUGAUACCCCAAUUUCCUGACUCCCAGUAAUUCAGAGAGGGAUCUGAGGGAUUCAUUAUGUAGGCAUGGAGAGGAAAAGUUGUUAGAUGAAAAAUAUGAAUUAUCUUUCUGGUGUUAUCAAUAUCUACUGUAUGACCUUGGGUCAAUAAUUUCUUAUUUCUAGGCCUCAGUUUUCACACCUGUAAAAUGACAAUUCAAACUAUGUGAUUUUAUUACUCUGUGUUAUAUCAACAAUAGGAAAGAUUGUCUAUUUCCAUUAUCAGAAAGAUAAUCCAUUAUCAGAGUUUUGAAAGAGGGGUUCAUCAGUUAGAAAUCUGGACUAUAUUACCUUUACUAUGUCUUCCCACUUAUAAUUCCAGAAAUUGCUAACGAUAGAAUUUCACGUAUUGUAGAGGCAGAUUUUUGUGGAAUCUUAUGAUUAUUUUAAAGCCAUACAAAAAUAAGCACUCUUCUUAUAAAUAUUAGGCUUUCCUGAAGUAGAUUAAAAUGAAAUGCCUGAUAAAAUAGUUUUGAAGAAAACAGAAAGUCUUCAAGCAUAUAAGUAAAAGAGGAAUGUUCCCAAAUACGUCUAUGUGAAUCACAUUUUGUAUGUUUAAUAGGGUUUCCAUGUUUGAUGGAUGGGGAGUGAGGAAGAAAGAGCACACUCCAGCUUGAAACCCUUCAAGACCAGGAGAGUGCUUUGUUUUGUGGCCUGACUCCUGACCCAACUCCACCACUGUCCUCACCCCCCACCGUGCACUCUGCCUUCUAGCUGCCACACUGAGAUUUCUGUGACAUCUUCAACAAGCAACAUUCUUUUACAAGCCCAGAGUACAUCACUCCCUACUCUGUGUAUAGAAUGUCUACUCAUCCAUUCAUCAAAGCGAAGCUCAAAUGGUCACCUCUUCUGAGAAAGCUUUCCUAUUUCUCCCUCUGUUAUACCCCGAGCAGAAUAAGUUGUUUCUUCCAGUCCCAUAGGAUUGUGUGAUGCUUCCCUUAUGAAGCUGAAUACAAUGCACUAGAGUUAGUGGUUUAUGCCAGCCCCUAGGACCAAGCUGUGCUCUCUCCUCCCUGUCCCCAUGAAGCCAUCAUCUGAGGUUGCUUUUCCUAGGAAACAAAUUCUGAAACAGAGAUUUGCACACAGGAAGUUACUGAGAAGAAUCCCUGCAAUGUUCACCUGUGAGAAAGUGAAUGAAGUAACUGGGCAGAGGGAGGGGUUGAGCCAGGAUGCACCUACAACAAAGGCUCCGUGGAGAACACUGCAGCUGGGAUGUCUCUGCAGGGUUGUCCUUCCUGGAAGCGUAAGGAUAGGGCUUCGUAUACCCGCAUGUACCAGUCAGUAGAUACUGGCUGCCACCAGGAAGGAGGUGUGACCUUGGGUGAGAGGUUCUUUUUAGUUGAGGGUAAUUAUCAGAGAGAGACUCAGCCAUGAACGGUCAGCACCUCAGUCCUGAACAGAGAUCUGGGCAGCAUAUUACAGCACGCACAAGAGUAAUCAUUCUUGUCCAGGCCUACGUAGUCUGUGACACACAGGAGGUAAUUGGUAGCCAGCUGGGGAAGGCCUUUUGGCCUAACCUGAGUGAAAAAUCUAGAUUUUAUUCUUUUUGCAGCAGGCACUAUUUGAGGAUUUUUUUUUUCAUAGAAAUUGUGUUAGGUAGUUACUCUGAUGAAAGUAUGGUUAAAGUGAGAAGAUGAAAAGAGUGGCAGAUAAAAGCAAGAGAUUAAUCAGUUGCUAAAAGGCACAGCUUAUAUACUUUUCUGUAAUGAUGGCAAUAUAAUUGUGGUUAAAAAGAAAAAGUUAUGUGAAAAUAAAAAUUUAGUCACAAACUUUGUACAUAAAACUCCCAAAUGCAACUGUUUUUAAGUCAGAGAUACAAUGUGGUUGCAGUUUUUCUACCUGUGGAUAUUGUAUAAAUAACUUGUAACUCAUAGGCAGAAGAGAUGUAAGAAUCAUCUGAAUAUAAAUGAAGCAUACAGCUAACAAACAUUAACUACUAGUGAGAUAUUAAUAAAAUAAGAGUAUUACCAUAAGGUACACAUUGCAUAGGUGUAUAUACAUGCUCAAUGCUGAAUAUUUAAAAUCAAGAGACAUAAGUAUUUGAAGAUUCAUAAGACUAUAAAGUGAUUGUUGCCAUUUAGAAAUGUUAAAAUUUUCAUUUUAUAAAAUUAAAAUGUGAUCUUAUAUUCAUCUUUAUCUUUUUUAGGUACAGAAGCAAUAUUGUGAAGCAGGAAAGACUCUUGGAAAGAUAACAGGUGACAUCUCGUGUUCCAGAUACAGUCUUGGUCUUGUUGAGAUAAGAUCAAAAGGAAAAAAAAGAGAGAGUUUGAAAAUACUAGAUCUUGCAAAGUCCUUAGAGAUUACUCUAGUCCAGGAGUUUUCAAUUCCGUUUACUUGUUUCCCUUUCACAUAAUCAUUUUUUCAGAGAAACAAUUUUUCAAGGAAGCACACCCAAGAGAGCCCCAAACCACUUCUGGAUGAAGAGUGUGUAAGGAGGGAGCCCGUGGAGGAUCCACACUGAACUGUUUGAAAACUGUGAUUCACCUGCAACUACCAGGUUCAAGAAACUAAAGUACAGAUAGUGAACACAGCUAGUGGCAGAUUUGGAGUUAGAAUACGGGUCUCCUAAUUUCCUGGCCAAUGGAGAAUCCCUCUGCUACAUCACACCAUACCUAUUCUAUAUUUCAGUAGACACACUCAAUGUUGCAAAUAGAAGGCAGUCAGUCUUAUUACCUUCAAGUUAUAUGCAAAUAAAUAAAGAGAGGAAACAUAUUGAGAUUGUGGACUAAAAAUAAAAUCCUAACCCCCUGCUACCGAAUGGACCCCUCUCAGCAAAGGGGACCCCAGAGAACUUAAAACUGAUUUCUCAGCCAUGAUGAUGGGAGGUGGGGCACGCAUCAUUUUACCCCUCCCUUGCUAAUGGCCAUCAGGCUUUAGUUCCUCAGGGCCAGACCAGCAUUCUUUCCUGAUAAAAGAUCACCAACCAUGAAGCUGUUUUAACAGUCCACAGAAUGUGUGCAAAGAGGGUUUUCAUAUCCUUCUUUCACCUUUUUGACAUAAAAGGUGGCCAUUUUUAAACAUGGACCCCAUGAAAGGGCAGAAAAGCCCCAUUGUGUAGGUGCAUAGAUCUCUUUUUAUAAGUAUUUGUGACUCCUGCUAUAGCUUGUUUAAUAUGUAUAUUCAGCCACCCCACUUAGUGUGAAAUCCUCUUCCUUUCGCCCUCCCUAGAAGCAUAUGUUCCUGGCUUGUGGCCCUGUGUCCCAGCUUGCCGGAAUGGUCACUGCAGGGGGCUGCAAACAAGAAAUAAAUCUCUCCCAAAUUAUAAACCUCAUUAUUUUUUUCAGUUAACAAAAUAUUAAGACAGUUUUUCUCUCAAACUCCUACAGGAUAAGAGAAAAUUCAUUGUUGGAUCUCUGGCAUCUACAACAGUGUGUUUGCAUAAAAGUGAUGCUUUACAAAUACUGAUUAGUAGAUGAAUUAAUAAACUCCAGGUAUAUAUUUUAUAUAAAAUAAAAAUAUAUUUUUAACCAUGCAAAACAAUUCUCUAGUCCAGACCUUCUCAACUGGCAGGCUAAGACAUGGUGUGCCACAGGUGCAUUCCAGGUGUACCAUAUGUGGGAAGGAAAAGAGGGGAAGGCCAGAGGUUUCCAGAGCCCCUGAGUGGUCACGUUGGGCCAGGAGAAGCCUCAUCCACCUAUUCCACCGUGCGGAAUGAAUGCCAUCAUUUUCCACAUGAACUGUGACGUGAAAAAUGCUGGAAGGUCGGGGAGCACAGCUCAAGAGCAGGGGUUCCCAGCAGGAGCAAUGUGGGACAGUAAAAAGAGAGCAGAGCUAUGACUCAGCAAAUCUCUCUUGAAAUGCCAGUGCCAUUAUUUGAACUCAAAUAAUUAUAUUACCUAAUUUAAUCAUGGAAUAAAAACUUAUUCUAUAUCUUGAUUAUGCUAAUCAAGAAGGCCUUCUACAUGAUGGUAGUACUUUUGGGUUUCCUUUGCAGCUAAAGAUAGCAUUUUACUUCAGUAGUUCUAAGGAACUCAAAGUGCAAAAGCUUCCAACAGCUCUGCCUACUUGUGAGGUGUGCAUUUCUCAAGAAAAGUUUCCUUUACCUGUAUCUCUAUCUUAAUCUAAAUGUAUAUUUGCACCUGUAUCUAAUAUGUGCUUCACAACAGACUGAAAAUAAUUGUAAGUCUACUGUCAUACCAUCCUUAUGACUGUGAUUUUUUAAAUGAGAAUCAAAAUUUCUCUUUUACAGAUGAAAGCUUUAAUUUUUCCUGAUAGAAAAAGUUUUGAAACAAUUUAUUAGAUGACAUCCUAUCUCUAAAAUGUAUUUUCUUUUGAUGUCAUGCCUGCCCUCCACAAGGACAGCCACGAAACUCAUAACUGAAAAUGCAGUAAAAGAACUUUAAUUUUUUUGUUGACUUCUGCCAAUCUUUUUGAACACAACCUUUUGCAGUUAGUGCCUAUAUUACCACAGCUUUCUUACAAAUUCCCUUUAAACAAACUUUUCAUAUGCUUCUCUGAUGGGAAAUAAGAGCUGCCUCCUCACUUACACUAGUAUUGUAGAAAGCUGAGAGUGAAUCAAAGUGUUUAACAGCUAUGCAGGUACAGAGGAAGAGAGAAGACAAAGAUGCCAUCAUUGUCCUCAAAGGUUCCCAAUGUAGGGGGAGAGGUAGACACAUCUAUAAAUAACUGAUUCAAGUGAAAGGGUACAACAAAUUGCUAUUAAUGAGACAUGAGUAAUGUAUGAUGGGAACAAAGAGAAGAGAGUAAUUACUUAUGAAUGGUGAGAGAGUGGGCAGGGUAGUGCUGGUUAAUGACUCUAGGAAUCUAUUCUAGGUGGGAUUUGAGCUGGUGCUUAAAAAAACCUUAUUUUAACAUUUUUUUGGAAUUAAUGUUGUAAUAUAACAAGAGUUCUUCAUUAUCUAAUCCUCUUUGAGAGGAGUCUCAGCUAAGCCUGCACUGAAACAAAAUUCAGUUCACAGGAGGAAUACUGUAACAGAGUCUGUGUCUCGGGCAGCACUAGUGAAGGGGAACUCAACACUGCCAGAGGAGCACAUGUGUCAAAGCAGCACAAACAAGACGUGCGUAUUACUAUUAGUAUAGAAUUUGGAAAAAAAAAAUUCGGUUUAUAUUUGGAAUAUAAUAAACUGGCUUUAAAAUUAAGAAAUAUGCCCUAAAACCAAAGAAAUAAAAAGCCAACAGAAACGACAAAACAAUUCAGGGCAAUUAGGCCAUUUUAUUCAAUUUUUUCCAUGAGCCAUGAAUUACAUUUUUUUUUUUCAUUUUUGGAGACAGGGUCUGCU